GACGACUUCCGGCUAGAUUUCACAACUAAGCACAUGUGGUUGGAACUUUAGGUGAAGAGAAUUUGGGUCUUAAACCCAUAAUUUACAGAAAUGGAGUACAUGAAAGAAAGCCCCACACUUUCAGUAAACUUUAUAUUAUGCUGCCAAUGUGGUACUCAGAUCGAGCCCAACCCUACCAACAUGUGUGUGGCCUGUCUAAGGACGCAGGUUGACAUCACAGAAGGCAUACCCAAACAAGGCGUCCUCUACUUCUGUAGAAACUGUGAGAGAUAUCUUCAGCCCCCUAACCAUUGGGUCAAUGCUGCACUUGAAUCCAGAGAACUUCUUUCUGUUUGCCUAAAGAAAUUAAAAAAUGGUCUUAGCAAGGUACAUUUGGUAGAUGCCGGUUUUGUAUGGACAGAACCCCAUUCACAGAGGAUAAAAAUAAAACUCUCUGUACAGAAAGAGGUGUUGAACAGUGCCGUGCUUCAGCAAGUGUUUGUGGUAGAGUUUGUAGUCAACAACCAGAUGUGUGAUGACUGCCAUCGCGUUGAGGCCAAGGAUUUCUGGAGAGCUGUAGUACAGUUACGACAGAAGACGGAUCACAAGAAGACAUUUUACUACCUUGAGCAGCUUAUACUGAAACACAAGGCACAUGUAAAUACCGUCAACAUCAAGCCACUUCACGAGGGAUUGGACUUUUAUUAUGCCCAUAAAAAUGAUGCCAGGAAGUUGGUGGAUUUUCUAGAAACAGUUGUUCCCUGCAAGUACAACAUUGCACAGGAACUUGUUACUCACGACCCCCACAACAAUACAUACACAUACAAACACACAUUUUCUGUGUCCAUUGUACCUAUAUGUAAGGAUAAUGUGGUGUGUCUCCCCCAGAAGUUGGCUCAGUCGCUUGGAAAUAUCAACCCGAUCUGUGUUUGUUACAAAGUCACGCAAGCUGUCCACGUCAUUGACCCAAACACACUGCAGAUUGCCGAGAUCAGUGGAGCUGUGUUCUUCAGGUCUCCAUUCUCCAACUUGUGUUCCUCGAAACAGUUAGUGGAGUUCAUGGUUAUGCAAGUAGACUUCAUACCAGACAGUGAGCAGAGUAAACGACGGAUACCUACGUCAAACAAGCAUGUACUAGCUGAUGUAUGGGUGUCCAGAUUGACCAACUCGGGACUGAGUGACCAGCAACAUUUCUGUCGGACUUUCCUUGGUCAUCUCCUGAACUCCGGAGACACAGUCCUAGGAUUUGAUUUCACCAACUCCAACCUGAACAAUCGGGAGCUUGAGAAGAUAAAACCAGAAAAUAUCCCAGAUGUUGUGAUUGUCAAAAAGGUAUUUGGAGAAAAGACCCAAAGGAAUAAAAAGAGGAGAUGGAAAUUGAGACAUCUCCAUGAGGAAACAGCAAGUAAUGACAGGGAUUACAACGAUUUCUUGGAAGAUUUGGAAGAGGAUCAAAAUUACCGACAAGGAGUCAACAUCUACAAAGAUGCAAGUAAGAUUGCCGUUGAUGCAGAUGACACUGAUGAUGAAGGUCUUCCUCAGAUCAGCCUCCAGGAAAUGCUUGAUGAUCUUCACAUUGACGAAGAUGCCACUGGUGGGGAGGGAGCUGAUAUGAUAGAAUAGCAUGUUAAAUUAUCUAAACUUAACACGGGGAGUGAGUAGAAUAGCAGGUUAAAUUAUCUAAACUUAACACAGGGAGUGAGUUCAAAUGAUGGAAGAGUGUGAUGAAGACAUCUAAACUUCCGAUGGAGAGGGAGCUUAUCUUAACUUCACAUGGGUAGGGUGCUGAUAUAAUGGAAUAGCAUGUUAAAUACAUCUAAACAUAACAUAGGGAGUGAGUUGAUAUGAUGGAAUACCAUGUUAAAGAUAUCUGAACUUCACAUGGGGAGAGAGUUUACAAAUGUAUGAUGGAAUAGCUUGUUAUAAUUAUCUAAACUUUAAAUGGGGAGGGAGCUGAUAUGAUGGAAUAGCGUGUUGAAUAUAUCUAUUAAAGCUUCACUUGUGUCGAUAUGAUGGAAGGGCAUGUAAAAUAUAUUUAAAGAUUCAAAUGAUUAUUUAUGGUGUGGGUGCUGAUAUUGGAAUAUCAUAUGAAAAGAAUUUUGAUUUCACAAGUUUUUGCAGUGACAGUUACCGUACCAACCUUUUCUCCUGUUCCCGUAUUACCUCCUGCCAAAAUUCACUAUUGGAAUAAAAGAUGAAAAAUCUUACAAUUUUUAUUAUUAUUUUAAUGUCAAAGAUUUUCCUAUGAAACACCUAUUGGUCCAAUCUGCAGUGUGAAAUGCUUUUCCAUUGAACAUUUUAAGCAUGAAUUGUAAACUGCUGGAGAGAUAUAUCUUUGAUUAUACAGCGUGUAUCAUAAGAUUUUGAUGUUUUGUGCUAUGUUUACUUCAAAUGGAUACUGAAGGUAUAUUUACUUUGAAUGGAUACUGAAGAUUUGCUGUUUUUAUGCUUCUUUUUUUCCAAAAUUUGGUUAUUUUGAAAUAAAAAAAGAAUUUGUAACUUAAACAUCUGAUCAGUUAAGAAGUUUUGAGGCUAAUUAUUGAGGAUAUUUGUUUACCAAUAAAUGGUAUAAUACACUGGACUAGUAUUUUAUAGUAUUUUUAAACCUCACAGACUUACACGGGUUUAAACACCUUAUACUGAAAUUUUGUUUAGAAUGAAGACAUCACCAAAUAUAUGAAACAAUGCAAGUUUGGGUCCAGGGGCAUGCCCCACCCCAAAAAACUGAAAGUUCAGUAAUGCAUUCUGUUAUAUUGCAACUCGCUAGAGAGUGUGGAUGUUUUUUUUAAAAAUAUUCGGGUUACUACAUGUAUUUUUUCCCCAACUGAACCUUAAAAGCUUGGGUUUGACAGGAGAUGCCUUGUUGAAUUUUAGGGUCCUUGGACCCCAGUUUAUAUGUUAGCAAGCCACAGUUUGCGUUUUACACACUUACUCAAAUUGGCGACGGAGAACUUAUACUUUUAAUAUUGAUAAUGUUCAUUUACCGGGUAUUGCUAAAUUGUUUUUGAAUAACCUCUAAAAUUACUGCUUGUAAAUAAAAGAAUUGAAGGUA